rnacentral:lncRNA from 1 species
CACGGACCCUUCUAUGUGGAAGACCUAUUGCGCUCUUCUCAGAGGGACAGUUUUCAAUGCUCAAACUAAAAACUUUGGGGAUUACAAAGAUCAGAAAUACUGAAACUGUUAUCAAAUAUUUUUAUCUAAAAAAAUUGUAUUAGUGUAUGCUUGUAGUACACAUUGAUCUUUUUCCUCAUGGUGAGUUACUGCAGGGUCCUGGGUUCCAUCCUUACCACCACCUGGACAGAAAGAUUACACAAGAUUUGACCGACUGGCCCCACGUGAAGGAAUAUAGCUCAAGGAAUUAAUUGAAUAAGUGUUUAUGGAAGCAAAGGAUGUGCGCCAUCAAGCUAUAGAAAAUUAAAAAUCAAAACAACUAAAAGAUAAGAACUGACCUACAUUGGCACCCACC